GAUGAAGAACGUAGCGAAAUGCGAUAAGUAGUGUGAAUUGCAGAAUUCAGUGAAUCAUCGAAUCUUUGAACGCACAUUGCGCCGCUUGGUAUUCCAUGGGGCAUGCCUGUUCGAGCGUCAUUUGUACCUUCAAGCUCUGCUUGGUGUUGGGUGUUUGUCUCGCCUCUGCGUGUAGACUCGCCUCAAAACAAUUGGCAGCCGGCGUAUUGAUUUCGGAGCGCAGUACAUCUCGCGCUUUGCACUCAUAACGACGACGUCCAAAAGUACAUUUUUACACUCUUGACCUCGGAUCAGGUAGGGAUACCCGCUGAACUUAAGCAUAUCAAUAAGCGGAGGA
rnacentral:misc_RNA from 1 species